rnacentral:rRNA from 1 species
GACGAACGCUGGCGGCGUGCCUAAUACAUGCAAGUCGAACGAGAGCGACCGGUGCUUGCACUGGUCAAUCUAGUGGCGAACGGGUGAGUAACACGUGGGUAACCUGCCCAUCAGAGGGGGAUAACAUCCGGAAACGGAUGCUAAAACCGCAUAGGUCUUCGAGCCGCAUGGCUUGAAGAGGAGAAGAGGCGCAAGCUUCUGCUGAUGGAUGGACCCGCGGUGCAUUAGCUAGUUGGUGAGGUAACGGCUCACCAAGGCCGUGAUGCAUAGCCGACCUGAGAGGGUGAUCGGCCACAUUGGGACUGAGACACGGCCCAAACUCCUACGGGAGGCAGCAGUAGGGAAUCUUCCGCAAUGGACGCAAGUCUGACGGAGCAACGCCGCGUGAGUGAAGAAGGUUUUCGGAUCGUAAAACUCUGUUGUUAGAGAAGAACAAGUGCUAGAGUAACUGUUAGCGCCUUGACGGUAUCUAACCAGAAAGCCACGGCUAACUACGUGCCAGCAGCCGCGGUAAUACGUAGGUGGCAAGCGUUGUCCGGAUUUAUUGGGCGUAAAGCGAGCGCAGGCGGUUCCUUAAGUCUGAUGUGAAAGCCCCCGGCUCAACCGGGGAGGGUCAUUGGAAACUGGGGAACUUGAGUGCAGAAGAGGAGAGUGGAAUUCCAUGUGUAGCGGUGAAAUGCGUAGAUAUAUGGAGGAACACCAGUGGCGAAGGCGACUCUCUGGUCUGUAACUGACGCUGAGGCUCGAAAGCGUGGGUAGCAAACAGG